rnacentral:rRNA from 1 species
CUACGGGGCGCUGCAGUGGGGAAUAUUGCACAAUGGAGGAAACUCUGAUGCAGCAACGCCGCGUGGAGGAUGACACUUUUCGGAGCGUAAACUCCUUUUAUAUAGGAAGAUAAUGACGGUACUAUAUGAAUAAGCACCGGCUAACUCCGUGCCAGCAGCCGCGGUAAUACGGAGGGUGCAAGCGUUACUCGGAAUCACUGGGCGUAAAGAGCGUGUAGGCGGGUUAAUAAGUCAGAAGUGAAAUCCUAUGGCUCAACCAUAGAACUGCUUUUGAAACUGUUAACCUAGAGUGUGGGAGAGGUAGAUGGAAUUUCUGGUGUAGGGGUAAAAUCCGUAGAGAUCAGAAGGAAUACCGAUUGCGAAGGCGAUCUACUGGAACAUAACUGACGCUGAGACGCGAAAGCGUGGGGAGCAAACAGGAUUAGAUACCCUUGUAGUC